rnacentral:lncRNA from 1 species
UUAUCAUCAAGUAGGAGUCAACUCAUGGUACAAAUGAUGAGCACUCAUUGAUCAAACCAAGAGAAUUCAUCCAAAAGAGUGAAUAAAAAAAAAUUCAAAGUGAUGAUGAAAAAAAAUGAAAAUCAAAGUUCGGAAAAAAAAAACAAAGUGUUCGAAAAGUCAAAUAGUUGAUACAAUGCAUGGAUGACAACCCUUGUUUAAAAAAAAUAUAACCGAUAAACGUUCGUUUGGGCCUUUAUACCCUUUCUUCUAAUACCUUUUAGCCCCUAGCCACAUUACAAGCCUAAUAAAGUCCACGCAGAUUGAAUAAUGAUUGCUCAAAUUUUUAUAAAGCUUAAUUUUGCGAUAAGGCAAAAUGACUUUCAAUGUGUCGUAAAAAAAAAGUUGAAAACGAAUGAAUAAAAAAAAGAAAAAAAAAGAAGAUAAUGUCUCGGGCAGAGGGGAUCUCCUUGCCAACUAGCCAGAAGCAUGUAAAAGAAAAUCAAACCAAUUGGGGUCGUCCUUUUAGCUAAUCUUUAUCAUGCCCACUACCUCUUCCAAACGGAACCCUUUGCCAAGGAAAAAAUAGAGGCAACUUUGUGAGUCUCAUACAAAUUUUUCAUCAACCCAUGAUCCCGAGACUGGGCAGCUUUGUCAGUCUCAUACAAAUUUUUCAUCAACCCAUGAUCCCAAGACUGGGGCAACUUUGUGAGUCUCAUACAAUUUUUUAAUCAACCCAUGAUCCCAAGACUGGGGCAGAUUUGCAAGUUUCAUUUGAUUUGUUGACCCUAAUUUUCAUGGAUCCAUACCCCUAUGCUCAUUUUCCCAAACACUAAACCGGGGCAAAACUUUUUGGUAUAUCGUGUUUUGUCUUGACACUCACAUAUUACAUCUCCGUCAAGGAGUGUGUGAGGAAUGAUGUGCCCACAUGGUUGUCCUAGUCUUCUCCAAACUCUCCUAAACAUCUC